rnacentral:rRNA from 1 species
AUACAUGCAAGUCGAGCGGACCGACGGGAGCUUGCUCCCUUAGGUCAGCGGCGGACGGGUGAGUAACACGUGGGUAACCUGCCUGUAAGACUGGGAUAACUCCGGGAAACCGGGGCUAAUACCGGAUGCUUGAUUGAACCNNNNNGCNCACUGGUUCAAUACAUAAAAGGUGGCUUUUAGCUACCACUUGCAGAUGGACCCGCGGCGCAUUAGCUAGUUGGUGAGGUAACGGCUCACCAAGGCGACGAUGCGUAGCCGACCUGAGAGGGUGAUCGGCNNCACACUGGAACUGAGACANNNCGGCCCAGACUCCUACGGGAGGCAGCAGUAGGGAAUCUUCCGCAAUGGACGAAAGUCUGACGGAGCAACGCCGCCGUGAGUGAUGAAGGUUUUCGGAUCGUAAAACUCUGUUGUUAGGGAAGAACAAGUACCGUUCGAAUAGGGCGGCACCUUGACGGUACCUAACCAGAAAGCCACGGCUAACUACGUGCCAGCAGCCGCGGUAAUACGUAGGUGGCAAGCGUUGUCCGGAAUUAUUGGGCGUAAAGCGCGCGCAGGCGGUUUCUUAAGUCUGAUGUGAAAGCCCCCGGCUCAACCGGGGAGGGUCAUUGGAAACUGGGGAACUUGAGUGCAGAAGAGGAGAGUGGAAUUCCACGUGUAGCGGUGAAAUGCGUAGAGAUGUGGAGGAACACCAGUGGCGAAGGCGACUCUCUGGUCUGUAACUGACGCUGAGGCGCGAAAGCGUGGGGAGCGAACAGGAUUAGAUACCCUGGUAGUCCACGCCGUAAACGAUGAGUGCUAAGUGUUAGAGGGUUUCCGCCCUUUAGUGCUGCAGCAAACGCAUUAAGCACUCCGCCUGGGGAGUACGGUCGCAAGACUGAAACUCAAAGGAAUUGACGGGGGCCCGCACAAGCGGUGGAGCAUGUGGUUUAAUUCGAAGCAACGCGAAGAACCUUACCAGGUCUUGACAUCCUCUGACAACCCUAGAGAUAGGGCUUCCCCUUCGGGGGCAGAGUGACAGGUGGUGCAUGGUUGUCGUCAGCUCGUGUCGUGAGAUGUUGGGUUAAGUCCCGCAACGAGCGCAACCCUUGAUCUUAGUUGCCAGCAUUCAGUUGGGCACUCUAAGGUGACUGCCGGUGACAAACCGGAGGAAGGUGGGGAUGACGUCAAAUCAUCAUGCCCCUUAUGACCUGGUAGCNNNNNUCNNGNNGANNNNCACNNACNNGCUAGCAUACAANNNUGCGNNGCAGAAUCNNANNNNNNANUNNACNNNGGGCAGCGAAGCCGCGAGGCUAAGCCAAUCCCACAAAUCUGUUCUCAGUUCGGAUCGCAGUCUGCAACUCGACUGCGUGAAGCUGGAAUCGCUAGUAAUCGCGGAUCAGCAUGCCGCGGUGAAUACGUUCCCGGGCCUUGUACACACCGCCCGUCACACCACGAGAGUUUGUAACACCCGAAGUCGGUGAGGUAACCUUUUGGAGCCAGCCGCCGA